AGAAUUAAUAACAUGUUUGAGUCCAAAAAGAUAGUAUUAUAUGCUGGGGCCAACUUUAAAAAAAAAAAAAUAGAGAUCCCUGGGUGGCUCAGUGGUUCAGCACCUGCCUUCCGCCCAGGGCGUGAUCCCGGAGUCCCGGGAUCGAGUCCCAUAUCGGGCUCCCAGCAUGGAGCCUGCUUCUCCCUCUGCCUCUCUCUCUCUCUCUCUCUCUCUCUCUGUGUGUGUGUUUAUCAUGAAUAAAUAAAUAUUAUUUAAAAAUAUAGAAGUUGUGAUAUGAAAAAUAAAUGACUAAGGCAAAACAUAAAAUUAAUCAAUAGGGCGUCCUGAAGAGCAUGUCAGUGAUGCCAAUGAUCAGAAGUCCUGGCUCAGGUUUAGGGAUUCCAAUGUUGUCAUGAACCAGCUCUCACGUUGAACAAACCACUUUUCCUUUCUGGCAUCAUUUUCCCCAGCACGUAAAAUCAGGUAUGGUAUAUUGAAUAGAGACACCACAAUUUACAGAUGACGUGAUUCCCCACAUCCUUUUGUUGCUAACAUUUUAGGGCGCUGAGCGCAGGUUUCUGCCAGUGGAUAUUCUUGAGGCUAACAGUAACUUGAAAACAAAGCGAUGGCAUGACGUGCACAUGCGGAAUGUGCUUUUAUAGCAUAUAAUACAAUAAAAAUACUUUUCUUAAAUAAUCCAUGACAGAUGAAUUCAUCUUCUCUUUAGAAAAAUCUAAUCAAAUGUUAAGACGCCUCUUUCCAGCACCAAGAGCUACAACCCUCCUUGUCCUCGGAAACAAACAAAUGAAACUUCGUGUUCCCAGGGAUGGCGAGUCAAGUUGAAACCUGUUGUCACAGCCCUGCGGAAAAUGUGGAUCCGUAAGAUUUCAUGCCAGACGUUGGGUGCCAGACAUCUUGCAAUGGGGAGUGGAGGGGGGAGGGCAAGAAAACUAGUGGUUAAAUGGGAGGACGGAAUGGGAGAAAAUAUGAUUGUACUCCUAGCCACCCAGACGGCAUUCUUCUCUGACACAUUUGUGAUAUGGAUCUCAGCCCAGAGGAAAGUCCAGGAUGAGAAGCCAGGCAUGGUGCCUCACCACAGGAAGCCCCAAUCCAGAAGUAGGAGCCUAAAAUAA
rnacentral:lncRNA from 12 species